CCCGCCAGAGGCGGGGAACGAGGCCCUGCUGUGGAACCUGCGCCUGGGGGUCCCUGUGUCACUGGCGGGCGAGGGGGCUGAUACCGGAAGGGAGCUGGUCAGCCGCACGGUGAAGGAUGCAUAUUUCUGAGCGCUCACCGUGCGCUCUGCCGGGUACACACCCCGGUGUCUGGCUGUCCGAGCCUACGAGGUUACACGUGCAAGCCGGAGCCCGCGGUGCAGAGCGCGCCCUGAGGAGCCCGAGGCCUCACCCGGCUACCGUCCUGCUGUUACUGCUGACGACACUGCGCUGCGACGGCCUGUAAGUUCCUGUCUAGGAAACGCUGACAUUCACACAGAAAAAGAUUCGUCAGAUUGUGACUCCUCUUAAAGAUGACCCGUGCCUUCCGGCAACUCGGCUCUUCCAUUAAAGUCGAAGUCUCACCAUGGUGACGCUGCAUCUGAAAGGUGAGGGUGUAUGGGAUGGAAGCACAUCUGGUGGGUGGACAUGAGGACCACAGCAGCUGCAUCUGGAAGAUGAGUGUGCCUGAGAUGGAAGAUCUGGUGAGUGGACAUGAGCAUCCCGGGUAUACUGAGUAAACUCAGCCAAGGAUGCAUUGCAGGAGGUGAGGAAGCUGACUGUGGUUUGGAUGUCGUUUGCUGUCUCCACCAAAUUCCAUGUGAAACGUGAUCCUCGGUGUGUUGGUGUUUGGAGGUGGCGCCUAGUGGGAGGUGUUUACAUCCUGGUGGGAGGUGUUCACGUCCUGGGACUGAAUCCCUCUUUGUGAGGUAGUGAGUGUGGUUUCACUCUCAGAGACUGGACUGGACUGGCUCCCGCUGGAGCUGUUGCAAUAAGGUGAAGUUUCUUCUGCUGCUUGGUCCUCUCCGCAUCUGUUCACUUCUCUGACCUUCUCCACCAGGUUACCCAGCUCAGAAGCCCUCGCAGGGAGCAAAGACCAGGCCCUUGAACUUCUCAACCUACAGAACAGUCAAAUGCUCAGAGCCAUAUGUGGCUCGAGGCUGCCAUGUUGCACAGUGCAAAUCCACAGAGCGUUUCAUCCAACGGUAUUGCAUUCCACAGCCCGCUGCCCUGAGGAGGGAAAUGCACAGAGCCUCCUCCUGACCCACAGCGCACAUGUGAGGAAUUCCAAAUAAGGUGGCAGUCUCCAUGCUCUUAAAGGAGGAGAGUGUAACUCCCACUGCAUAAGUGAAGGCCAUGCAUAGUGAAUUUGCUUCAGUGAGUCUGGAAAGUGGGACAAGGGAGUAACUUGCCUGUGGAGAAACCUGGCAGAGGCCACGACCGCCAAGUGAGGUGGGUGCUACAGUGAUGAGUCAUUGACCAAAGGUGCCUUGACAGAGUGUAAUAAAGAUAGCACUUUACUUCUAUGGUCUUCUUCCCCAAAUUCCAUAAUCCCAAUCGGAUCAUCAGAAAAACCCCAACUGAGAGAAAUUCUACAGCAUACCUGACCAUUACUCUUCAAAACUAUCCCAAUCAUUGAAAACAAGGAAAAUCUGAGAAACUGCCAGCGGAUAGGGGUCUAGGGAGAUGUGACAACUGCAUACACAGUGGCAUCCCGGAUGGGGUCCUGGAACAGAAAAAUAACAUCAGGUUAGCAACUAAGGCAUCCCGAAUAGGCUUUGGACAUUAUUAGUCAAUGAUUAUUAUGACGCAAACAUAUGAUCAUUAUGUCAAGAUAGGGAACACAUCUCCCAUCUUGUCAAAUAAUUUAUUGAGCAUAUUUAUCAAUUGUUGUUAAGUCAAGUCUGUCUGAUAGCCUUGUUUGAUUUCUGAUCUCCUGAUGUUUGAUUUUUAUUGAUAUUAAAUGUCCUGAUUGUGCGGAGUCAGUGCAGUCUCUGUGUGUGCUUGGUGACAUCUGAGUGAAUGUCACACGCUUGUGUAAAUGAUAGCAGAGAGAAUGGGGGGUCCAUAUGAUACCAUCUUUCCCCAAAGUGGAGCCAUUUGACACUGGCUGGUGGCCCAGCUAGAGGCAGAUGAUGCCUGCUCACCAAGGACCGAGGUCACCCAGCUGUGUCUCAGCCUCUCUUUGAGGGAACCCUUCUUUCUCACUCACCCAUGCUUCUAGGGGUCACAUUUGGAGCUCCAGCUUCAGCCCCUUGAGAUUUAAAGUCAGUUUCUGUUCCUCAGACUCGUCCCCUCUUCCCUCCAGGGCCAGCGUUCACUACAUCCCUGGCCACAUCAGCCCUCAGGGAUUUGGUCUUUAUGGGGAAAGACAGGAAGAGUAUUUUAAGACAUUUAAAGUAGAAAAUAUUUUUGGCCUUGGGGAAAAAUGUUAAGGGUCUGAGAAAGAAAAAUAGCCUAAUUAGAUUCCUGGUGACAUUGACUUCCCAAAAAUGGCAAAUGUUGCGUGGAGAAGGAGAGAGAUCUUCCCCGUGAGCCAGCAGGACAGUCAUGAGGGCAAUGCCUUGGAGGCAUGUGAGAAUUGGGUAAAUUCAGUGGCACACACUAGUGAUUUGAACAACAGUUUAUGGCUCUCUCCCCUCUCUCUUUAUUUUUUCUUUACAGUUUUAUUCCCUCUGGUUCAUAUUAUCCUUUUUUUCUAAAACUAAUGUGAUUUUUGAAACAACAGAUGUGAUAAACCAACAUUAAAUUACGUUCCCAAAUUUAAGAAAAGGUUUAGGAGAAAGUAGUUUCAUAAUCAAUGUUUGAUAAGCACAAUUAUUUUUUAACAUGUAAGACUUUACCAACUUAAAUCUAGACAGUACAUUAAAGUUUAAAAGUCCAGUUUGUAGGGGUGUAUCAAUAGUUAAAUUAAUAAUUUUAAAAUUUCUUUAUUUCUGGCAUAAUAUUCUAUUUUUAUUUUCACUUAUAAAACAUACUAUACGUUUGUAUGCAAAAUGUAAGGUGCCAAUACCUUUGUUGAGUUUUGAAAACAUUUAUUAAUUAAGGAACAUCAACAUAUAAAAUUAUCUUCUAAAUAAACUUUAUGUUGAUCAAUAAUUUCUGGAUCAAAUUAACUUUAAGCAAACAAGAGAAAUAUGUACAGCUGUCACAGUAUAAUAAAAUAAAAAAUGAUCAUUUCAUGGAUUUGAGUCAACUGGACAUUUUCUGCAUAGUUUAUAAUGUACAGAAGCUGGAAGAUGCAUGUCUGAUACAUUUCCUGGGAAUAAAUGUAUCAUCUCUGAAACUCUUAUGGCUCCAAUAAGGAACUCCUCAUGGUUGCUUUGGAAAUUCCACUUAAGAUGAAGACAGUGUUUUCUUUCCUCCAAUGUGAUCAGCAGUGCUGGUAAUCAAUACAUUAUUACCAGGCUUCUCAUGCCUGUUUCUAACAGACUAACACUUUUCUAGGAAAUGCUAAGCAACUUGAAUCUCACUCCUGGAACACAAGCCCCAGCCAUAUGGAUAACAAACAUUUAUCCUGUUUAUAUGGGAAGUCAUAGGAACACAUGGUUUCCUAACCAGGACAUCAAGGUCUUUGGAGGAAUCUUGCAGCCUGUUCCUGGCAGCUUUCUCUCCCCUCCUUCCUAGGCCAACCCUAACCCUAACCCUAACCCUAACGAGGACCCAGGUUUUUAAACAGCUAGAGUCUCCGUGUUUCUUCUGAUUAUGGUAGAAAAUAAAGCCCAAAAAAAUAAGCCUUUAUAAAAACAGCAUGGGUGUUUUUGUGAUAGAUUUCUAAGGGGUAAAAAAGGCAACUACGUUAGAAAUGUGAGCCUGGCAAGAGGGAAAAGCUGGCAUUAAGGACCUGCCAAAAUUCUAAAUUCACUUUCUUUUCUAUGCCAGAGUGAAUUUAAAAUAGAUAUAUAAAUGUCUGUUUCAUUUAUAUUCUUUAGUGAAAGCCAAAUACAUAAGCAAAAUAAAAUUUAAAAUACUACUAUUGAAUAAAGAAUUUGAAUACCCCUAUGAAGUAAGACAUAAUAGAAGCUUGGACCCUCCCUUAAAGUAAAUGGAGGAGGCUGCAGAGAGAAGGCUCUCUCACCAAAUUGCAGGAGAAAAGCAUAGCCCUCCAGCAGGAAAUGGAAGAUGGUGAUUUCAGGACAUUUGUCAGCUAAAGUUUUCACAAAACAGCUUUAUGCAGCCUUUUGAAUAAAUGCUGUGCAUGGUUGUGUGAAGGAGAUAUUAUUAGGAGGGGCUGAACUCUUAAAAUGAUGAAAUUGAGUUUACUGUAAAGUUGUAGAGGUGAAGGAAAUAAAAAUAAGCUUCUAUAAGUUAUAUGGGAAACAGAACUUCAAAAUCAAGAGAAAGAGAAGUUUUAACUUCCUUACGUCUAUUUGUUUAGGCUCUCUAGUGGAGGUCGGUAUUAGCACACACUACGUUAAACAUCUUGCACAGAAAAACAAAGUCAGCAUAUUCUGUCAGCCAAUGGAAGAGAGUGGAGUAAACCAGUGAUUACUUAACACACAUGCUUUAAAACAGCAAACUAUUGACGCAAUGUGGAGUAUAUUUAUGGUCUGUUACAUUUUACGAAAUGGUUUUAUUUGAUUUAUUUUUAAAAUACUUGUCAUUUUAGCAAUCUUCUGAUAAGAUGGUACAUUUAAAAGCUCAGAACAAAACACACAUGGAAUGAUUACCUUCUCUAGGAGCAAUGAAACCCAGCCUUUCUGGUUUAUUUCUUUCUUUUCACUAAUGAAAUCAUUACAAUUUUGUUAGGUCUAAUUAAAAGACCAAGAAGGCAUUUGGACGGAAAAAAAGGUAUCAAGUUUUGUGUAUUUUUGAUGUGUUUUCUACAGCCAGGACCAAGUCCUUGAAAACAAACUUCAACAAAGCAGCAUAAUUUCAUAAUGAAGAAAAGAAAGAACCCCGUAAAUACCUAAUUCCAGACUUUCCUUUGUCAUAAAGUCAGUGAUCUUCAUGCAUACAAUUUCACAUACAAAUUCCCAUUUCUUAUUUAUAAUCCCUUUCUAUUUACUGAGGAGGUCAUCUCCUGAUGUGGUUGAAAAUACGUUACUCUGUAACUAUGAUUUUUCUCAUGAUAAAAGUGAGAUGCAGGACAAGUCAGCUAUUAUUAUGGGAUAUAUGCGGAUGUGCUGGGAUGGAGUCCUCCACAAAAAAUCACGGGGGCAGAGCACGCUCUUAAGUCUCGGAGCUUCUUACCUGAGAAUGUUGAUUCUGAGUCACUACAGUGGCUUCCAGGAGUUGCCAACUUUUAAAAAAUUGUGUUCCACUAUUCCAAAUCUGGUCUCCUUCUUUGUUGAGAAAGAUGGAAGGCAGACGGCAAGCAUGACGUGGGGGCUUCUGUAGGGGCUCUUGCUGUGGGGUAAUCCUUGAUAAAAGAAAAACUUCAGCCAAAUUAAAUUUAAAAGACUUUGAGCAAUGAAUGAAUUGUGAACCAGACUGCCUUCUGAGCCAGAGUAGGUUCAGAGGUUCCAGCACAACCAUUCGGUGGAAGAAGAUUUAUGGACAUUGAAGGGAAAGUGACCUACAGAAAAUGGAAGGGAGGGACAGAAACAGCUGGAUUGGUUAUAGCUCAGCAUUUGCCUUAUCUGUCUUAUUUGAACACAGUUCGAACAGUUGACUACAUUUGAUUGGCCGAAACUCAGUGGCUGGCACAAGUGUAGGCUACAGUCUACGUACACCUCUCCUUGUUAUGUUCAUGAUGUGCAGAAAAACCUUUAGGCUGAACUUAAAAUCUCUAAGGAGGCAGCUUUAGGCUAAACUUGAUUUAACACCCUCAAGAUACCCGAUUCUUUUGCAGAUUUGAGUCAGGAUGGCUUCAGCCUAAGGAAGAGCUUGCUGGGCUCCUCCUAAGUGUGAGAGGUUGGAGGAGCCACCACCUGGGCCAACAUAAAUUACCCUCAGCAAGACAACACCAGAGAGAAACGCUUCCACCACGCACAGAAAUGGUUCCGGGGGCUAGAGAUUGAGACAGUCCCCAGCCACUGUGCAGUUCUUCAGUACUUCAGGGCCCACAGAACAAAGGGGCUAAUAGGAGGCCCAGGAGUUACUGCUGCCCCAAGGAAAGAGAGGAUUAUCUCCUGUGCCCAGAGGCCCCGUGGAAGUGGUCCUAACUUGCCAUGUCCAGGAUAAAAGCCAGGAGAGGCCCACACAAGCCCCAGGCAGGAGGGACUCCCAAUGGAGCAGCCACUGAGGAUGGAGAGUCCGAGAGCUGCGGGGCUGAUGGGGGCCCAGGGGCAGUGCGGAGCUGCAUGUGGGUUCCAGCUGCGGCCACACGACCUGUGCCAGGCACAGAGGCAACAGAGGCUGAGCACGUUCCCCUCCCACGCACCAGAGCACGUGUUCAUUGCAUCCGCUGUCUCCUGUUUUCCUUCUAACAUUACAGGUAAAUGGAUGCCUCAUCUGCUUAUUAUAUUUCUGCUUAUUAUAACCUACCCAGUCUCAGGUAUUCUAGUAUAUCAGCACAAAACAGAUCAUGACAUCCUGUAUCUCAAAAUGCAAUUGAGGUUUUCCAAAUUUCUGAAAAUAUUUAAAUAGUUUUGCUUCAUGUGCUCAGUUUUCCAUAUUUGCUGGUUUUUUAUAGGAAUAUUUCUCCUGAAUGUGGGCACUGCCAUAAAUCAUUCUUUAUCUAACUCACUGAAUUAGUGGAUCCCUCCCAAGACCUCUAUUUUGAUUUGCUGUGUCCUACAAAGUUAGAUAAUCCCAAGGCCAGCAUGUGUGUAUUCCUAGCCAGGGAUUCACCUAUUUAUGGAAAGUAUGCUGUAUUUCUUCCCAAGCCAAUUUAUAUAGUUUUGCUUGUCAUUAUAUCAUUUAACUGAAUUAAAUACUAAUAUUCAUAA